AGUGAACGCUGGCGGUAGGCCUAACACAUGCAAGUCGAACGGCAGCACAGUAAGAGCUUGCUCUUACGGGUGGCGAGUGGCGGACGGGUGAGGAAUACAUCGGAAUCUACUUUUUCGUGGGGGAUAACGUAGGGAAACUUACGCUAAUACCGCAUACGACCUACGGGUGAAAGCAGGGGAUCUUCGGACCUUGCGCGAUUGAAUGAGCCGAUGUCGGAUUAGCUAGUUGGCGGGGUAAAGGCCCACCAAGGCGACGAUCCGUAGCUGGUCUGAGAGGCUGAUCGGCCACACUGGAACUGAGACACGGUCCAGACUCCUACGGGAGGCAGCAGUGGGGAAUAUUGGGCAAUGGGCGCAAGCCUGAUCCAGCCAUACCGCGUGGGUGAAGAAGGCCUUCGGGUUGUAAAGCCCUUUUGUUGGGAAAGAAAAGCAGCAGGUUAAUACCCCGCUGUUCUGACGGUACCCAAAGAAUAAGCACCGGCUAACUUCGUG
rnacentral:rRNA from 1 species